GAGGAGCAGAGGAAGUAGCAUCCACGCCACUGCAGAAUUUAAAGCCUUUAUUUGACAAAUGCGGUGAAACGUUGUGAUGAGGUGAUGGCAACGUGACAAGUGAUGUAUGUGGAAAUUACCAUAAGGCUAAAGUAUUGUGAGACAGUCAGCCACAACACAGGAUGAGUCAAACUGCUGAUUUAUGGCUUUUAUGCCCAAAAAGAAGAAGUGGUUAAAAUCUGAUCCAGCAAAAAGAGACUGUCUGCACUUGGACAAUGACGCCAACACUCCUAUUGUGGGUCCUCAUCCUAAAUGCCUCGCUCAAGCCCUCAGAAAGCCAUGGGCGAGACUUUGAAGAGGUGAAGGACUAUGAGGUGGUCCGACCUGUCAGACUACACACAGUUAGAAAAAGAGACACAGAGCAUCUCAGGCCUGAGACUAUGAAGUAUGCAAUGACUGUGGGAGGAAGAGACAUUGAAAUGCACUUAGAAAAAAAUAAUGAAUUACUCACCAAAGACUACACUGAAACUUACUACCAAGAAGACGGGACUCGAGUCACCAAAACUCCGAAUGACAUAGAUCACUGCUACUAUCAUGGGAAGAUUCUGAAUGACAAUGAAUCAUCUGUUAGCAUCAGCACCUGUGAUGGACUCAGAGGUUACUUCAGGACGUCUGCCCAGAGGUACCUGAUUGAGCCCCUAUCUGAUGGGGAUGAGGGGGAUCAUGCGGUGAUGACUUUUGACAACAAGACUUACACGCCUGCAGUUUGUGGUGUCACCAACACCAGCUGGAGUAGCGACUUCGAACCCCCAACAAGCCGGAGCCGCUCCAGAUCAGCGGGUAUAUCUAUUGUCCAGCAACAGAAAUACAUUGAGCUCUACCUCGUUGCUGAUGAUCGUGCGUACACGAAGAUGAAGAGAGAUGAGGCAAAGCUCAGAAAGAGGAUAUUUGAAAUUGUCAACUUUGUCAACAUGGCAUACAAGCCCUUGAGGACCUUCAUUGCUCUGGUAGGACUGGAAGUCUGGACCAAUGGGGACUUGAUCAGUGUGACCCCCCCAGCUGGGGCCAACCUAAAUGCUUUUAUGACGUGGAGGAACAGUGAUCUGAUAAAAAGGAAAAAGCAUGACAACGCACAUCUCAUCAGUGGUAUUGACUUUGAAGGAGCUACUGUGGGACUGGCCUUCAUUGGGACUCUUUGCUCAGGUCAUUCUGUUGGAGUAGUACAGGAUCAUAAUGACCGGGCCAUUGCAGUGGGUGCGACACUGGCCCAUGAGAUGGGCCAUAACCUGGGCAUGGACCAUGAUGACUCUAGUGCCUGUGCUUGUGUUGGUGAUAGCUGCAUCAUGGCUGCAGCACUGAGCUGGAAUGUUCCUCGAACUUUUAGUAGCUGCAGCAGCAACAACUACGAGAAAUACCUGACUGAGCGCAGCCCCAGCUGCAUGCUGGACAAACCAGACUACAGAGCUGUGGUGGCUCCUUCAGUCUGUGGGAACGGCUUUGUGGAGAGAGGGGAGCAGUGUGACUGUGGCAGUGUGGAGGAGUGCUUCAAUCCAUGCUGCAAUGCCACCACCUGCACCCUGAAGGAGGGUUCACAGUGUGCCGAGGGCGAGUGCUGUGACAACUGUAAGAUCUCACCUACUACCACGGAGUGCCGCAGAAAGCAGGAUGAAUGUGAUCUGGCAGAGUACUGCAAUGGGAAGAGCGCCACCUGUCCUGAGGAUGUCUUUGCGGUGAAUGGCCUCCCAUGCGAUGGAGACCUGGGAUACUGCUACAACGGCCAGUGUCCACAGAGGCCGAACCAGUGUUUGAAACUGUAUGGACCAAGUGCUACAGAGGGCCGUCCUAAAUGCUAUAACCAUAACACCAGAGGAACCUACUACGCCUUCUGCAGACGUAUAGAAAACCAGUACAUCCCCUGCCAGCAACAAGACGUGUUUUGUGGGAAGCUCUUCUGCCAUGGCGGUAAUGCCAACCCAGUCUACGGCCGCAUGGUCAGGGUCGGUGACUGCAAGGCAGCUUUCUUUCAGGACCACACCAAAGACUACGGCCAGGUGGACACUGGGACCAAAUGUGGGGAUGGAAAGGUGUGCAGCCAGAGUCAGUGUGUGGAGCUUGAGACAGCGUACAGAAAUGUAAACUGUUCGGCAAAAUGCAGAGGCCAUGCUGUGUGCAACCACAGAAGUGAGUGUCAGUGUGAGCCUGGUUGGAUGCCUCCUUACUGCGAGUCCAAGGAUACAAGUUCAAAUCCCAUUUCUACAGGACCAGCUAUUGCCAUCGCAGUGGUAGUCGUUCUAGUGGUUUUAGGUAUCAUUGCUGCUGUGUUAGGAUUCUGGUGGAAAAAACGCCAAAGUCCCAUAUUGCCAACUGCACAAACGCGGAGGAAGCCAACAGCAGUGAACAGCUCCGCUCACCACCUAAACAGUGCACCAGUUCCUAGUCAACCCAUGCCAGUGCAGGGUGGAAGGCGAAAGCCCAAAGCAGCUCCACCUCCACCUCCGCCAGCAGGGAACAGACCUAAACCUCCGAGCCAGAACUACACAGCUGCACGCCGGGCUCUGAGGCCAGUACCUCCACCAAAGGUCUGAUGUCUGACACUGUGCCACCCCUUUGUAAAUCUGGUCCAUAGUCCCCAACGAGCAGCUGCUGGUGAUCCAGAGAAGCAGUUUCCUCUGCAGUUUUUUUCCACUGCAACGCUGUCUGAAGCACGAUCGAGUGUUUGUUCCAGUGACGUGCAGCGUGCAGGAUGAACAUACUGGAUUUAAAAUUGUUACUUGCAUGCCAUGCACUGAGGACUUGAUAUUACAGGGAUGAACUUGUUUUUAGUUCUGUACUAUGCUACAUGUCCAUAUUUUUUGUUAAAUCUCAAGCAAUACCUUCAUUAAUUAUCAAUUCAAAUAUGAGACAGUAAUAGAUGAAAUGAUUUUUUGUAAGAAGACACAUUAGGUCUGUGAGAGUGUAGACAAUGUCAGAACCCAGUGUUAAGACAAAAAUACACCAUGUUAAACAAGAUCAAGUUAAUUUCCAAAUAAAAAAAAUAUAAUUUUUAUGUUCUACAAUCAGCACACUGCUUGAGAUUUAAGCAAAACGUUUGACAUUGUAGGUUGUAAUUUAUUGUUAUUUCUCAUCUGGUUUAUGUAAAUACAUUUUUUAAAUGCACAUUUAUCAUAGUGCUGCUAACCAAAACCUUGUAACUUGUGAAACAUGAGGGUUCAAAGCAGCGAGGAUUUAUAGUAAGUAAUGAUAAUGAUGACUGUAUAUGUUGAAAUGUAGCCAAUAUCUGAAAAACACAAGACAUCAUGUUACUGCCCUAAAUUGUGUUAAAGAAAGCCCAUACCCAGGUGGUAGUAAUCUUGAUUUUAAAAGGCCUGUGACUGAAUAUUACUCCUCUCUGCUUUAACCGUUUGCCCUCGAGGGAGGCAGUGACCCCAGAUUAUGCUACUGAAAGAGGGUAGGGUUGUAACAGGCAGCUCUGAGCAAGAAUGUCUAUGAUGUGUCACAAAAAAGUGUUGCAAACAGAACUACUUAAUGAAAUUUAAUAAUGGGAAACUGUUAUUGUUUUGUAUAAAUGCAUUGUGUACAAAAAGCAAACUCUUAUAGCUGCACUUGGAUUUUUUUUUAACACAUUUGUCCUAUCUUAAAGCUGCAUAAAG